UAUAGCUACCAUGUCAUGUAGAGUCUUAAUAUGUGGUUUUAACGUGUUAAUAGUCAUGUGAGUGGUUCCUACCCAGUCUGGUGAGGUGAGCCUUUUUGCUAGGUAUGUCUUUGUAUAUGGCUGCAUAUUGUGUUUGUGGAAAAGGUGCAAACAACUAUGUCACAGUAAUCAAAGGUGUAUGUAGCUACAUCUGUGUUAGAAGAAUUGUACCAGAAAGUGUAAACAUGAUUAUCUUUG
rnacentral:lncRNA from 1 species